UAGAUACUAAGUGCUUAAGAAGUUUGG
rnacentral:piRNA from 1 species